UACAGAGGUCUCAAGCGUUGUUCGGAUUCAUUGGCGUAAAGGGUGCGUAGGUGGUGAUGCAAGUCUGGUGUGAAAUCUCGGAGCUCAACUCCGAAAUUGCACCGGAUACUGCGUGACUCGAGGACUGUAGAGGAGAUCGGAAUUCAGCGGUGUAGCAGUGAAAUGAGUAGAUAAUCGUGAGGAAGACCAGUUGCGAAGGCGGAUCUCUGGGCAGUUCCUGACACUGAGGCACGAAGGCCAGGGGAGCAAACGGG
rnacentral:rRNA from 1 species